rnacentral:rRNA from 1 species
GCAUAUCAAUAAGCGGAGGAAAAGAAACUAACAAGGAUUCCCCUAGUAACGGCGAGUGAAGCGGGAAGAGCUCAAAUUUGAAAUCUGGUAGCCUUCGGUUGCCCGAGUUGUAAUCUAGAGAAGUGUUUUCCGUGCCGGCCCAUGUACAAGUCCCUUGGAACAGGGCGUCAUAGAGGGUGAGAAUCCCGUCCUUGACAUGGACCCCCGGUGCUUUGUGAUACACUUUCAACGAGUCGAGUUGUUUGGGAAUGCAGCUCAAAAUGGGUGGUGAAUUCCAUCUAAAGCUAAAUAUUGGCGAGAGACCGAUAGCGAACAAGUACCGUGAGGGAAAGAUGAAAAGCACUUUGGAAAGAGAGUUAAACAGUACGUGAAAUUGUUGAAAGGGAAACGAUUGAAGUCAGUCAUGCUCUUGGGACUUACCUCCCUUGAGUGGGGUCAACAUCAGUUUUGAUCGAUGGAUAAAGGCACGGGGAAGGUAGCACUCUCGGGUGAACUUAUAGCCUCGCGUCAUAUACAUUGAUUGGGACUGAGGAACGCAGCAUGCCUUAUGGCCGGGAUUCGUCCACGUACAUGCUUAGGA